AGCCCCGUGGUGUAGCGGCCAAUCAUGCAAGGCUCUGGACCUUGCGACCACGGUUCGAAUCCGUGCGGGGCUA
rnacentral:tRNA from 1 species